rnacentral:rRNA from 1 species
GGCGGCGUGCCUAACACAUGCAAGUCGAACGGAGUUAUAUAACGAAGUUUCGGAUGGAAGAUAUGUAACUUAGUGGCGGACGGGUGGAGUAACGCGUGGGCAACCUGCCCUGUACCGGGGGAUAACACUUAGAAAUAGGUGCUAAUACCGCAUAAGCGCACAGUUUCGCAUGAAGCAGUGUGAAAAACUCCGGUGGUACAGGAUGGACCCGCGUCUGAUUAGCUAGUUGGUGGGGUAGAGGCCUACCAAGGCGACGAUCAGUAGCCGGCCUGAGAGGGUGACCGGCCACAUUGGGACUGAGACACGGCCCAAACUCCUACGGGAGGCAGCAGUGGGGAAUAUUGCACAAUGGGGGAAACCCUGAAUGCAGCGACGCCGCGUGAGUGAAGAAGUAUUUCGGUACGUAAAGCUCUAUCAGCAGGGAAGAAAAUGACGGUACCUGACUAAGAAGCCCCGGCUAACUACGUGCCAGCCGCCGC